rnacentral:rRNA from 1 species
AUUGAACGCUAGCGGGAUGCCUUACACAUGCAAGUCGAACGGAGUGGCGAACGGGUGAGUAAUGUAUCGGAACGUGCCCAGUAGCGGGGGAUAACUACGCGAAAGCGUAGCUAAUACUGCAUACUAUUGGAGCGGCCGAUAGCGGAUUAGAUAGUUGGUGGGGUAACGGCUCACCAAGGCGACGACCCUUAGCUGGUUUGAGAGGACGACCAGACACACUGGGACUGAGACACGGCCCAGACUCCUCCGGGAGGCAGCAGUGGGGAAUUUUGGACAAUGGGGGAAACCCUGAUCCAGCCAUGCCGCGUGUGUGAUGAAGGCCUUCGGGUUGUAAAGCACUUUUGGCAGGUAAGCGUUACCUGCAGAAUAAGCACCGGCUAACUACGUGCCAGCAGCCGCGGUAAUUC